UCCCAAGUUACAGGAUGGACAAGAGGAAAAGGGAUGGGCUGUCACAGGAGCUGUGGGGAACAGGAGCAAGGUUAGAGUGGCUUAGAGAUCUGCAAAGGUGAAAGUUCAUUUUGAUCUACAUCAGACGCCUGACGGAUCUAGUUGGUGACAUAAAUUUAGUUAAGACGUAAGAAACUGAAAUUUACAAGACAGGAUCUGACCUAAAACACAAAAUUCGGGGAGCGGGCUGGGAGGCGGCUCAGAAGUUAGCAUCACUUGUUGCUCUUGCACAGGACUCAAGUUUAAGUCCCAGCACCCACGUGGAAACUCAAAAUCGAGUGUUAAUUACAGUACCAGAGGAUCCAAGACCCUCUUUUGGCCUCUUAACUUCCCACUACCUGCUCCUUGUACUGGCUGAACAAUGGUUUCCUGAAGAUGUUCAUGGCAUAAAUCCUGGAGAGACAUUCCACUGAAUGUCAGAAAGGACUCUGUAGACACGAUCGAGGGUCUUGAGAAGGGAACGCUGGCCUGGAUUUGCUGAGGAAGCCCACAGUAACCAGGAGAGCUUUUAGAAAGAGGCAGCAGGUGUUAUUUUGGAGAGAUGGCUCAGCAGUUUAGAGUGCUGGCUCUACUUCCAGAGGACUGGAGUUCGUUCAAUUCCCAACACCACAUGGUGACUCACAAUCAUCUGUAACUCCAGUCCCAGGGACCCAACACCCUCUUCUAGCUACCACAGGCACCAGGAAUGCAAGUGGUGCACAGACAUACAUGCAGGUAAAACAUCAGUACACAUAAAGAUAAACAUGCAUGUAUGAUGAGUAGACUUUUUGUUGUCCCCUAAGCAGCAGAGCACAGCAGGUACUGACUGAGAGCUUACAUUGAGUAAGUGUUAGACAAGCAUUUGAAGAUGGCCUGCUGGUGUCAAGAGAUGUAUGGGAUGCUCGCUUCACCUCUUCCUUCAACUAUAAAUAAAUUAUUAAAACCUGAUUCUAAUGCUCUGCCAUCAUUACCCUGACAUUUUAAAAGUACAUCUUCGUGUGUUCUUGUCAAGAUACUGUUAACUACGGGGGACAAAGGGAAAUUCAUGAAAGCAUGGUCUCUCUCCAGAUUUAGGGAGUCAUUACUUCUCAGUAGCUUUACUAUAACCCAUCCAAAUACCCAAAAGAUGGUCCAUAGACUCUACUAAUGCUGUAAGCUAGUGCCCACUUCCUGGACAGAAACUGGUCAAAAAGGAAGUUCACCCAUGGACCCUUGGUAGGUUUGUGCUGGUUUCAGAUGACCAUGGCUUCCUUUACACUGUCUUGAAAAGGACUAAUCCUGGGUUCACUGGUUUCAGUCUGAUGAGUAUCAGUGAUUUUUUUUUUAAGACAGAAUGAUCAUUAAUGCUGAAGAAAUGACAAGGCCUGCAUGGAUGGUAUCUUUGUACAAUUACAUUAAAAGUGAAUUACUCUCACUGUCUUCUCCUGAAGAUGCUCUUAGAACGUUAGCGCCGAGAUACAUGAUCAGAGAUCACCAAAAUGGUAUCUAGGUAACUUUUUAAUUGGCUUCUCAUUCCUACCUUGUAACAGUUUUCAUGGAACAAAUGUUUUAAGU